rnacentral:rRNA from 1 species
UACGGGGGGGGCAAGCGUUGUUCGGAAUUACUGGGCGUAAAGGGCUCGUAGGCGGCCAACUAAGUCGGACGUGAAAUCCCUCGGCUCAACCGGGGAACUGCGUCCGAUACUGGAUGGCUUGAAUCCGGGAGAGGGAUGCGGAAUUCCAGGUGUAGCGGUGAAAUGCGCAGAUAUCAGGAGGAACACCGAUGGCGAAGGCAGCUCGCUGGGACGGUACUGACGCUGAGGCGCGAAAGCGUGGGGAGCGAACAGG